CGAACGCUGGCGGCGUGCCUAACACAUGCAAGUCAAGGGUUUGAUUUAUCAAGCACUGGCAUCCGGGUGAGUAACGCGUAGGUCAUCUGCCCCUAUCACAGACAUAACAGUUCUAACGGACUGCUAAUAUCUGAUGAGGCGAGUAAUCGUCAAAGCUUAGGCGGAUAGGGAUGAGCCUGCGUCUGAUUAGGUAGUUGGUGAGGUAAUGGCUCACCAAGCCUUCGAUCAGUAGCUGGUCUGAGAGGACGAACAGCCACACUGGAACUGAGACACGGUCCAGACUCCUACGGGAGGCAGCAGUGAGGAAUAUUGGUCAAUGGGCGCAAGCCUGAACCAGCGACGCCGCGUGCGGGAUGAAGGGGCUUUGCCUCGUAAACCGCUGUCGGGUGGGACGAAAGGUAGCCUUGAGCUACUGGGACGGUACCAUCAAAGGAAGGAUCGGCUAACUACGUGCCAGCA
rnacentral:rRNA from 1 species